AUGUGGGGCAAUCUGUCUUUAAGUAGGGAUAAAUUACUCUAAAAGAAAUGAAUCCUAGUUUUCCCUUCAAGUUUUCCCUUCAAGUCAAGCUUCUUGU
rnacentral:pre_miRNA from 1 species